rnacentral:tRNA from 1 species
GUGAAUAUAGCUCAGUGGCAGAGUGCCUGCUUAGCAUGCAUGAGGUCCUGGGUUCAAUCCCCAGUACCACA